UUAAGUUAUUAAGGGCGCACGGUGGAUGCCUUGGCACUAGAAGCCGAUGAAGGACGUUACUAACGACGAUAUGCUUUGGGGAGCUGUAAGUAAGCUUUGAUCCAGAGAUUUCCGAAUGGGGAAACCCAGCAUGAGUUAUGUCAUGUUAUCGAUAUGUGAAUACAUAGCAUAUCAGAAGGCACACCCGGAGAACUGAAACAUCUUAGUACCCGGAGGAAGAGAAAGAAAAUUCGAUUCCCUUAGUAGCGGCGAGCGAAAUGGGAAGAGCCCAAACCAACAAGCUUGCUUGUUGGGGUUGUAGGACACUCUAUACGGAGUUACAAAGGACGACAUUAGACGAAUCAUCUGGAAAGAUGAAUCAAAGAAGGUAAUAAUCCUGUAGUCGAAAAUGUUGUCUCUCUUGAGUGGAUCCUGAGUACGACGGAGCACGUGAAAUUCCGUCGGAAUCUGGGAGGACCAUCUCCUAAGGCUAAAUACUCUCUAGUGACCGAUAGUGAACCAGUACCGUGAGGGAAAGGUGAAAAGCACCCCGGAAGGGGAGUGAAAUAGAACCUGAAACCGUGUGCUUACAAGUAGUCAGAGCCCGUUAAUGGGUGAUGGCGUGCCUUUUGUAGAAUGAACCGGCGAGUUACGAUUUGAUGCAAGGUU
rnacentral:rRNA from 1 species